rnacentral:rRNA from 1 species
CACACCGCCCGUCACACAUGGGAGUUUGUUGCACCAGAAGCAGGUAGCCUAACCGCAAGGGGGGCGCUUGCCACGGUGUGGCCGAUGACUGGGGUG